rnacentral:rRNA from 1 species
GCUGACGAGUGGCGGACGGGUGAGUAAUGUCUGGGAAACUGCCUGAUGGAGGGGGAUAACUACUGGAAACGGUAGCUAAUACCGCAUAAUGUCGCAAGACCAAAGAGGGGGACCUUCGGGCCUCUUGCCAUCGGAUGUGCCCAGAUGGGAUUAGCUAGUAGGUGGGGUAACGGCUCACCUAGGCGACGAUCCCUAGCUGGU